rnacentral:rRNA from 1 species
CUCGUGUCGUGAGAUGUUGGGUUAAGUCCCGCAACGAGCGCAACCCUCGACCUUAGUUGCCAGCAUUCAGUUGGCACUCUAAGGUGACUGCCGGCUAAAAGUCGGAGGAAGGUGGGAUGACGUCAAAUCAUCAUGCCCCUUAUGACCUGGGCUACACACGUGCUACAAUGGGCGGUACAAAGGGUCGCGAACCCGCGAGGGGGAGCCAAUCCCAAAAAGCCGCUCUCAGUUCGGAUUGCAGGCUGCAACUCGCCUGCAUGAAGCCGGAAUCGCUAGUAAUCGCGGAUCAGCAUGCCGCGGUGAAUACGUUCCCGGGCCUU